rnacentral:rRNA from 1 species
GUUUGGGACGAGGAGAAUCUGUGUUCGAUCCACAGUAAUCCGAAGAUAAUAGGUACUCUAUAUACCUUAUUAGGGAUUAAUUAAAUAUAAAUAGUAUUUAUAUUAAAAAAAAAAGAAACUAAAAAUUUCUAUUAUAUAUAAUUUAUACUUAUAUAGAAUUAUAACCAAAAUUUAUUUUUUUAUAUAAGUAUAAAAAGAAACUAUUGUGGAGUCUAAGCUAUAUAUUAAAGAGAUUUAUUAAUUAUCAUAGAUUAAAAUUAAAUUAGUUAAACAACUAAUAAAAUUUUGAAAGUAAAACGUAUUUUAAUACUUUACUAUAAAUCUAAUAAAAAUAUUUUAACUCUAGGAAAAAUUCAAUUUCAAUAAACUAGGUGAAUUGAAAUAUCUUAGUAACCUAAGGAAAAGAAAUCAAAAGAGAUUCUAAAAUUAGCGUGAGUGAAAUUAGAGAAGUCUUAAAUUAAAAUGGAAAAAAAUCUGUUUGAACAAAUGGGGAACCUUCCUCAAAGACUAAAUAUAAUAUAUAAGCAAUAGCGUAUAUGUACCGUGAGGGAAAGAAAUAUGAAACAGUAGUUUUAUAAGCAGUUUUAAUCACAUUUGUGUGUUCAAAACGUACCUUUUGCAUAAUGGGUCACCAAGUUAACAUUAGAUACAAGCAUUAAGCGUAGUUAAACCGGACGUUAAAAUAACGAUAAGAGUAUCUAAAGUUAGACCCGAAGCCUGGUGAUUAUACUAUAGUCAGGAUUAUAAAAGUCCGAACGGUUUAUUGUAGCAAAAAUAUCCGAAGAACUAUGGUAGGUGUAGUGAAAGACAACACUGACCAGGAUAGCUGGUUUUCUGCGAAACCUAUAACAGUAGGCAAUUCAAGAUAAUAUCUUAGCAGGUACAGAACUUAAUCUCAGACAAUAGAUGAUAAUAAUCAAAUAUUGUAUAUAUUGGGGGAUCGUGAAGAUUUUACCAGUGAGUAUGCAGACUCGGAAUGGCAAAGAUAAAACUUGAAUGAUCAGACAUAGAAUGAUAAGGUUGUAUGUCAAAAGGGAAACAGCCCAGAACAAGAGUUAAGGUUCCUAAAUUAUUAGUUAAGUGAAAUGAAGAAUGUAUUUAUUAAAGUCGACAAGAAGAUAGGCUUAGAAGCAGCCAUAAUUUUAUGACCUCGUAACAGAGCACUUGUUAAGUUAUAAACAGCGUCAAUAAUUUAACGGAUCUAAACAAUAUACCGAAACCUUGUCCAUGAUAUAUUAUAAAAAUUUUUUAUAAUAAAAUGGGGUAGCAGAACAUUGAAUAAAUUUACUACUUUUAUUUUUCAAAUAAAAUUAACAUUAUUUAAUUCAAGUGAGAAUGGUGACAUGAGUAACGAAAAGAAAUAAUUUAAUAUUUCCGCCUAAAGCUUAUGGCUAGCGUUAAGUACGGCCUCUAAACUAAAGUAAUGCUAAAGAUUUUUAGUGAUGAGAAAAUCUAAAAGACAUUUGACCGCAUUGUAUGUGAACAAUGUGCUGGAAAAUUAACUUUAACCUAUUAAGUCAUAGUUAUCUUCAAAGAUAACAUAGAUUAAACCGUACCUAGAUACUGACACAAGUAAGCGAGUAGAGAAUACGAAGGCGUUUGAGCUAACAAUCAUAAAGGAACUCGGCAAAUUGACUACCGUAACUUCGGGAUAAGGAGAGCUCAUAUUUCUUGGUUAAUACCAAGUGAAAUAGAAGAGGCAUAGAAUAGUGCUGUACGACUGUUUAAUUAAAACACAGCACUUUGCAUAAGAUUCAAAAAAAUCUAAGUAUAAAGUGUGAGAUCUGCCCGGUGCCGGCUGGUUAAUAGAGAUACUUGAAUGAACUAACAUUUGACAUCGACAGAACCCCCGGUUAAAGGCGGCCUUAACGUGAGGGUCCUAAGGUAGCGAAAUGCCUUGGCCGUUAAAUGCGGUCUUGCAUGAAUGGUGUAACGAUACAGCAGCUGUCUCUAUGAUUGACUCAGUGAAAUUGGAAUAGCUGUGCAGAUACAGUUUACCUCUAGAUAGACGAGAAGACCCUAUGCAGCUUUACUGUCACUAAUAAUAGACUAUGAUUACCCUUAUAUCAGUAUAGAAGGUGUCUAGAUAGAUAGAAAAAUGAGAAAUCUUCAGUAGGUUUUCAUAUGAAAGAAACUGUGGAUUUAAAUGUUAAAUUUAGCGAUACCAUCUAGUUUCUACCGAAAGGUGACCUUGAUUAGGAAUUAUUACUAGGAGACAGUUUAUGUGGGGCACAGACCCUGUAAAAAGUAAACAGGUGUGUCUAAUUAAUUUAGAAUUUUGUUUGUAAUUUUAAAUAGCAUUUUAAGUGCUAUUUUUUAUCUUUAUACUUAUUUAUAUCUACAUAUGUAUAUAAUUUUGCUUUGUUUAAUAUACGAGAGUAUAUUUUACAACAAGUAGAUUUUACAAAGCAACUAUAAUAUAGAAGUACAUACUUUUAUAUUAUUUAUAACAAUAAGACAUAAGUUAUUAUUGGGUCGACCUAUUUGUGUAUAGAUUUAUUUCUAUAUAUAGAUAGGAAGAUUAUUAUGUACGUAGUAUAUAUAUAUAAUAAAAUUUUUUAGGUAGGAUUUUCACUAGUUAGAAGUUAGUGGUAAUUGAAAAAAUUAUGUAGCCAAGCUACUAAUUAUUUUCUAGCUAUUAAAUUAUAUUUAAUAGUAAUGUAUAAUACCGAAAAAGCUCAACGGCUGAAUUCUGCCUUACUGUUUGAUUAUCUACAAAUCUUACAGUUGCGUAAGCAGGGCAUAGGAUCACAAGAUACAAAAAGGAAAGAUCUUGGAUU